rnacentral:rRNA from 1 species
GGGUUGUGAGGUUAAGCGACUAAGCGUACACGGUGGAUGCCCUGGCAGUCAGAGGCGAUGAAGGACGUGCUAAUCUGCGAUAAGCGUCGGUAAGGUGAUAUGAACCGUUAUAACCGGCGAUUUCCGAAUGGGGAAACCCAGUGUGAUUCGUUACACUAUCAUUAACUGAAUCCAUAGGUUAAUGAGG